UACGGAGGGUGCAAGCGUUAUCCGGAUUCACUGGGUUUAAAGGGAGCGUAGGUGGCUUUGUAAGUCAGUGGUGAAAUAUUGCGGCUCAACCGCAAAACUGCCAUUGAUACUGCUUAGCUUGAAUCACGUCGAGGUGGAUGGAAUAAUACAUGUAGCGGUGAAAUGCUUAGAUAUGUAUUAGAACACCGAUUGCGAAGGCAGUUCACUAGGCGUGUAUUGACACUGAGGCUCGAAAGCGUGGGGAGCAAACAGG
rnacentral:rRNA from 1 species